rnacentral:rRNA from 1 species
GACGAACGCUGGCGGCGUGCUUAACACAUGCAAGUCGAACGGAAAGGCCCUGCUUUUGUGGGGUGCUCGAGUGGCGAACGGGUGAGUAACACGUGAGUAACCUGCCCUUGACUUUGGGAUAACUUCAGGAAACUGGGGCUAAUACCGGAUAGGAGCUCCUGCUGCAUGGUGGGGGUUGGAAAGUUUCGGCGGUUGGGGAUGGACUCGCGGCUUAUCAGCUUGUUGGUGGGGUAGUGGCUUACCAAGGCUUUGACGGGUAGCCGGCCUGAGAGGGUGACCGGCCACAUUGGGACUGAGAUACGGCCCAGACUCCUACGGGAGGCAGCAGUGGGGAAUAUUGCACAAUGGGCGGAAGCCUGAUGCAGCAACGCCGCGUGCGGGAUGACGGCCUUCGGGUUGUAAACCGCUUUCGCCUGUGACGAAGCCUGAGUGACGGUAAUGGGUAAAGAAGCACCGGCUAACUACGUGCCAGCAGCCGCGGUGAUACGUAGGGUGCGAGCGUUGUCCGGAUUUAUUGGGCGUAAAGGGCUCGUAGGUGGUUGAUCGCGUCGGAAGUGUAAUCUUGGGGCUUAACCCUGAGCGUGCUUUCGAUACGGGUUGACUUGAGGAAGGUAGGGGAGAAUGGAAUUCCUGGUGGAGCGGUGGAAUGCGCAGAUAUCAGGAGGAACACCAGUGGCGAAGGCGGUUCUCUGGGCCUUUCCUGACGCUGAGGAGCGAAAGCGUGGGGAGCGAACAGGCUUAGAUACCCUGGUAGUCCACGCUGUAAACGGUGGGUACUAGAUGUGGGGUCCAUUCCACGGGUUCCGUGCCGUAGCUAACGCUUUAAGUACCCCGCCUGGGGAGUACGGCCGCAAGGCUAAAACUCAAAGGAAUUGGCGGGGCCCCGCACAAGCGGCGGAGCAUGCGGAUUAAUUCGAUGCAACGCGUAGAACCUUACCUGGGUUUGACAUGGAUCGGGAGUGCUCAGAGAUGGGUGUGCCUCUUUUGGGGUCGGUUCACAGGUGGUGCAUGGCUGUCGUCAGCUCGUGUCGUGAGAUGUUGGGUUAAGUCCCGCAACGAGCGCAACCCUUGUUCACUGUUGCCAGCACGUUAUGGUGGGGACUCAGUGGAGACCGCCGGGGUCAACUCGGAGGAAGGUGGGGAUGACGUCAAGUCAUCAUGCCCCUUAUGUCCAGGGCUUCACGCAUGCUACAAUGGCUGGUACAGAGAGUGGCGAGCCUGUGAGGGUGAGCGAAUCUCGGAAAGCCGGUCUCAGUUCGGAUUGGGGUCUGCAACUCGACCUCAUGAAGUCGGAGUCGCUAGUAAUCGCAGAUCAGCAACGCUGCGGUGAAUACGUUCCCGGG